UUCCUCUCGCCUAGCGCUCCGCCGCUGCUGCCUUACGCGGCCCCGCGUCGGGAGAACUGGGAUCGCCCCAAGAGCACCGCGAGGGCCCUGUCCACCCUUCUAAGUGACUCACAUGAAAAUAACUCAAGACCUCACUCCCAGAUGGAAAGAGUGAGGCAAGUCGGGGGGACCUCGGCAGCAGCCGUCAGUGCUGAGGCCCAUGUCAAUCCCAUGGCUCAAGGCCAUUGGAGGACUGCUGAACCCACCAGCUCCCAAGAGCAGAGUCGGUGCUGACCGGACACCACCUGAGGUUCUGGGUCAUAUCAGAAUGUGAGUUGCUAAAAAAAACUGAAGAUGACACGACCUCAAAAUGGCCCUUAAGAAGGUCCCAGAGCUGAAUUGACCCAGACCCCUCAGAAGACAGGGAAGGACCCUGCUAACCACCCAACUUUUAUAGGCUUGUAAGAUCACUGCGACAAUAACUUUCUCACUGAGAUCAUGCACCUUUUCAGUCACAAGGUCAUUUUUAUGUUUCUCUUCUAGGCACACAAAAGUCCUUAGAGAUCUCAUGAAUUAGUGUUUAUCCCAGGAUAUCUGGUUUGGCAUUGUAAAUAAAACAUCCAUCUGCCUAAGUCCAGCCGUCAAAAUUACUUUGACAAUUUACUCCGAGGAAGCAGUAUUAGCAUUUGCUUUCAGAGUUCAUGAUGUGCAAAAGAUUACUUAAAAAUAGGAGGGAACGGAGAAGAGAUAUCGUAGUUUUUUUAUCUUGUUUGUUUUUUAAAAAAAUAUUGCCAUCUCUUAUAUCUUUAGUCACAGUCUCUUCAUGAUUUUUCAAGGCAAUUUCUUUGGGAAGCCAAGUGGCUGAGACAAUUUGAUGAUAACUCAGCCAACCUGCAUCACUACCUAAACAGUUUUUAGGUAUGGAUAAUUUCUGAAGAUGAGUGAACAUGCUUUUCUGCUUUUGAAAAUAAUCCCGAAAACUUGGCUUCAAUUUUUGUCAACAAAGUGAUUGCCCAGAUCUGAAAAUGUUUUUUCACCCUUUUCUACUUUUGAGGUGAGGUGAUGUCCUGUAAGGUCCAGGGAUUUGGGAGGGGCUCAGGAUAGGGCAAUUUUAUAACCUGAUGCCUGGAGGUAGUGCACAGUGCCAUGCAUGGGGAUGUCCCACAAAAGGCAGGGAAGCAGGUGUGGCAGCGGCUAUGUCCUCUUUGGAGCUGAGCCACAGAGGGCAUCAGGAUCAAUGAGCCGAUCUUUAUCAAUCUGUCUGAGUCUUAAAGAACAGCCAAGGACAUGAGAAUCUGGAAAACCAUAACAUAAUCGAAUUGGGGGAGAAUUUGACUCUCCCCCAAUGAAGAAUCCACA